CAGCUCGCAAGUUUCGUUGUAGAUUAAUCGAUUGAUCAACUUUCUUUGUGGCUAAAAAUAAUUUAUAAGCUGCAUUGAGGGGUUUCCAGCUCUCUAUAUCGUAGAGCUUUUCUUUUAAUAUUACCUGAAAGAAAGUUGACCCUGCCAUAAAUGAGAAUUUUUAUAGAAUGCCUUCAAGUCGCUUCACCUAUGCCAGCAUAUCGAAAUUAUAUUUUGAUUGUGGAAUGGCCUAAAAUAUGUUUGUGACUGUGUAAGCAAGUUUGUUGAAAUUACUCAAAAGAUACGAAUUGAGCAAUGCAAACAGAAACAUACGCUUGAGUCAGGGCACAGUAGUAUGUGCCAAAUUUCUUGUCUCUUGCAAAAGUUUAACAACGCAUCAAUGGUGAAGUUUGCAUUUGACAUAAUUGUAAUUCCUAGUUCAAAUACUUAUGUUGUAGUAACAACUACUUAUUUAUUAUUAUGAUCUCACUAACGUAGUACACAGUUUUAUUACAGACUAAACUGUUGUGCCAGCUGAAAUGUUCUCAAGCUGGUCACAAGCUGAAAUGCAUGCCUCAGCUGAGUUGGUUCUCAAGCUUUAAAUGUCCAGUGUCAUACUUGUGGUUGAGCAUUAGUAAACCCCAUAACACUGGUCGGCAUUCACACACCAAGGCAACAACAUGAGAAAGUGAGCACCACAACUUUUGAGAAGCCAUUGGGGAUGUUUGGUGAUGUCAUGUCUGCAAACCAAGUAAAGCUUGUGCGCUGUAUUGAAAUGGUGUAGUGGGUGUAUGCAACCAAAACAUUACAAAUGCUUCAAAAGCCCUUCAAGGACGACUGCAUUUCAAGGUUACAGUCCGAGAGGUGGAACAAGGCGUUCAAGGAGGGCCGGGAGGAGAUUGCCUGCGAACCCCAUUCUGGACGCCCAACAAUGACCAGAACCGACAAAAACAUGGAUCGUGUCCAGAUAACAUGGCGUGAUGGAGCGUGAGCAGUGUGGGCGGAUAACACAGUGCAAUGGAGCCUUUGCUUGAACAGCGAUAUGCUAUUAAGUUUUGCGUGAAGCUUGGAAAGAAUGCAACCAAAACAUUCCAGAUGUUUCAAAAAGGCCUUCAAGGAUGACUUUAUUUCAAGGUUACGGUCCGGGAGGUGGCACAAGGCAUUCAAGGAGGGCCGGGAGGAGGUCGCCUGCGAACCCCUUUUUGGACGCCCAACAACGGCUAGAGCCGACGAAAACAUGGAUCAUGUCCGCGAAGUUUGGCGUUCCGACCGUCGACUGAGCAUACAGCAAAUUGCUGACACCCUACACAUGUCCACAUUUGUAGUACAUGGGAUAGUGACCAAGGAUCUGCAAAUGCACAAAAUCUGCACGAAGCUUGUGCCAAAAGUGUUGACUGAAGGUCAGAAAGAACUUCGAGUUUUGCACUGUCAUGAAUUGUUGGAUUUGAUUCAAAAUGAGCCGGACUCUUGACUCUGUCGUAACCGGAGAUGAAUCCUGGAUGUUCGAGAACGACCUAGAAUCGAAAAGGCAGAGCAGCGAGUGGCAUUCAAAAUCAUCUCCCCGCCCCAAGAAAGUGCAAAUGAGCAUGUCUCGCAUCAAAACGAUGCUCAUUGUCUUCUUUGAUGCCCGAGGAAUCGUCCGUUUUGAGUUUGUACCGCAGGGAGAAAGUGUCACCUCAGCCUUUUACCUGGAGCUGCUCAAGAGAUUGGCACGCCGGGUCGGCGUGCGUGAAGGCUGACAUCAAAGACACAGUCAAGAGCUCCACCAUGACAAUGCCCUCAGCCACAUGCCCCUUCAUCAUCAAUGGGAAAGCAAGCAAACCUGCCAUUUUACUUCUUUCAGAGUAGAAAUGCAAAGGCGACACUCAGUAAACAGUCACAUCACCAUCAGAAUGGCAAAUCAAUAGUAAAUCAAUUGUAAACAGAACAAGAGUGCCUUUUCGUGUAACAAAUAAAACAAUUGGAUGCUUUCAGUGAAUGGGCUUGUGAACUCGCUUCCUUAUUCCAAAGCUUGAGGCCCACAAUUUCUUAGCUGCUCUUUCCCAGAUGAGGCAUUUAUGUUCCAUAGAUGUGCAUAGAACAUAAUGCUUUAGACAUUGCAAACAUCCUAUAAUUAUAUCCCAGUGAACGACUGAUAUCAUAUCAACAUCCAGGUAUGAUCCAUACGUCCGUGUCCCGUCGUAACAUCUAAAUGACGUCUUACUAAGAUUUAUUUCGUAAAUAUUAAGUAGGCGAUAUAUUGAAGUUAAUUCUACAUUAAAAUUGGACUCUUUAUAGACAUUACAUACUGAGAAUGUAGAUGUGUACAUGCCACGUCAUAUCGAUUUUGCUGCAUUUCAAGUUGAAGAUUUACUUAAGAUGCCAUAUUGGUUGGGGGAUGUAAUAAAAGAUUUGUGGUUAAGUUUUUAUGGCGACUAGAUCUAUGAAAGCGCUUAUACCCCCGAGCAUUAUUGAACAUGAAAUGCAGUUUACAUUGAAUAUGAUACUGAAGUUUUGGAAAAGUAAAAGGUGGGGAAGCAUAGGCUCAGGUUAGACAGCUGUAGGGCUUGUCGGAAAUCUUUAGAGGAUUGUUCUGAAACGGCCGGAUAGCCCAUGGCUAUGGCAUUGUGCUGCUGAACACACGGCGUCUAAUGUAUGUUGUAACAACAUGACAAAAUACAUUUUUGGACCACUUAUAGAUAUCUAAUAACUAUGCGAUUACCAAUGCCCCUCGUGAAGACAAACAAACAUGAACAGGUAUCUCACUCGACUGCCAACACUCGCUGUAACAAAAUGAUGGUGUGGUGAAGAGCGGGAACUGAGGGUAGCAAAUUCUUCCCUGCUGUCUCUCCCUUCAACGCAUCUCUGAAACGUGAGAUUACGUACGUGACCUCUAGUGCUAGGCGCGCGCGUAGACACCAUCCAUCUGGGCUCGCGCACGCUUUGACUCGUCCGGCGCUAGGGUUACCUCCAAGAUAGGAGCGGGCGGCGCACGGCCGUGCUAUAAUUAUGUACGUAGACGUCUUUUUUUAGCAUCGACACUUCGUUGACUCCCCCCUCCUGCACAAGACGCCCGGCGGGCCUAUAUCGGAGGUAGCACCAAUAUGAUGCAGUCAUAUUGGUGCUAAUUACGCCCAGACCGUUAAUUUUAUCUAGUCUGCGACUAAUCAUCACAUCUUGGAAGCGCAGCCGAAGCCACCUCCCAGGCAUCAUCGCCUCGCGCGAGCGCUGCUUCGUCCGUGCGAACUCUCGCCAAUUCCCUAAAGUGUGCCGUACGGUGCCUUCACCUCAACAUGUCUAUAUAUGCGGCGGUGCACGCUUUACAGGGGGUGGUAAAUUUUCGACAACCGUAUAAUCUUGAGUACGAGCCGCACAUGUGUAUGGGCAGCGUCCACAACUUGGCCGCCCGAAUAUUGGGAAAAAGUUCCCACUGAGAAGCGAUGCGUAUGGUGCGCUGAUGCCGUGUGCGCAUUUUCGCAAGCCGGUAUUAGAUGGGGAGAGCGGUGCUUUAACCUCAUGUCCGUGCUGAAGGUUGUCGCGGGCGCCAAGGAGCACGAGACGCGAGCAGGUGGCCGCAAGUUAUGCAUUCAAUUGAAGAUAAACAACGCAGAUAAAAUUCUCAUGUCGUACAUCAGCUCGUGGAUGACGCGCGGCCACUCAUCCCAUAUCGGCGUAACCACGGUGAUUGAGGCUUCGUCCUCGAUUUUGUGGUGCUCACCAAUUUUUGUGCUGGGUGCGAAUGGGCACCAAAAGAUGACGACCCGACCUAACAGGCUUGGAAUAAGGAUCAAGUUUGCCAGAAGAACACCAUUAAGAAAGCCGGUGAGAUAGAAGUUGAAGGUGCAAUGAUCCUCUAUCAAAGGGCACUGCAAAAACAAAAGAUGUGGUACACAGCUCUACUUUCGGAUGGUGACAAACCGCACCUUCCUUCCCUAACAAGAAGCCAGUGUAUGAAUACAUAGCUGUAGGAAGAGAAGAUAGUGUGAAUCAUGCUGACAAGAGAGAGAUAGCAAAGAGAGGGAAGGCAGGGAGGUCAACCAGACGAGCGUCCGGUUUGCUACCCUACACCGGGGGGAGGGAAAGGGGGAACAGAAAGAGGAAAGCGGGAUAGAGGGAACACUGUCUGUGCACGCAGCAAAGUGCGUGGAAAUAAGUCACGCCUGCGCACGCCUGUAGAGCGAACAACGCGUGUUCCUGACAAAUUGCCCGAAGAAGACGGGCAAGUGGUUAUGAUGCUCUGGUCUCUGAUGAAUACGGUUCGAAUGCUCUUAAAUAACCUCCACACUCCGUCAGCGCGAAGUGCAAUGCAAGUGCUGGAUGCUCUCAAUUCAGUGCUUGCAACACUUGAGUAAGCAUCAUGGCUCACCUGCAUCAUUAUAUUCGCACUGAAGUCAGAACGGCUGGGGUUUAGCUUUAAAAAAAGAUAUACUGCCAUGCACUGCAACGUACCGCUGACGCCCACCGGAUCCUUGGUCUUCAGUGGUGACUUCAACGUCCAUCACCAGCUAUGAGCCACCAAGAUUGACGGCAGCCUAACGUAUCGACGGAGCACUUGCUUUGACAUGCUGACAAGAGAAUGCGCCCUGCACUAUACACCCUCACAGAAUCAAAGCAGAACUGCUCUGGAACUGGCAGCCUUGCAUGCAAAGAUGUGUCCGUGCCACCUGGAAAAACGUCGAACAAGUUGUAUUGCUUGGGCUUCGACUGGAAGCCAGCUUGCCUGAUUCUCAAACAACAUCCUUUUUUUUCGUUGUUACUUAACACAGCAGCUUGAUCUAUGGUUGAUUUAUCAUUGUGUUGGUGAUACAACCCUUUACUGAUUGCUACCCAUGCUAUUCUUGUCUGGAGCAAGUCUGAUGGCAAAUUCGCUUGGUGUCCCAUCAUUUUACUGAAGUUAUGAAAAAAAAUAAAGGGUUUCAUUGCACUGACUUCUAUGUAAUGACCUGGGUAAAAUAGAUAUACCCUGCAAUGUAUGAACAGAGAAUUUAAUACACAAUGUGGAAUAUUGACUGUUUUUAUGUAUACAUAUGUGCAAUAGCAUACGUGGGGUGGGGGGUGAAGGCGAGGAGGGAGGGUUCGUUUCAUGUCGCUGUUGCUUAAGAAAUGCAACAGGAUCAUGGAAAGUGUUUACAAUGCACUAUUGGAGCGAAAGAAUCUCUUGUUUAAUGCUCAAAGAUGGCACUGUCCCACCACCUUCAAAUUAAAAGUAAUUUGACUAUUUAGCCCUUCAUUGAAUGUUGCCUACAGGCAACUUACCAGAAAUUUUUUUUUUCUUGCUGAGUUUUUGGCCAACACUUAAACAGGCAGCAAGCAUCAUUUGUUGGUUUAGAGCAGGAGCACAGGACGGGAAAGAAGUGUUGCACGUGGCUCACUUUCUUUUCAAAGUACGAUGCAAGAUCUCUGGCCGCAGUGGUGUCACACACAUGGCGUAAAGCAAAUAAAAGGUGCAGCUAUGGUUCACAUAUGAAGAGAACUGUCUGUACAAAUCCCACAUGGAGGCUUGAGGUUAAGCCACUUCCAUGUUUCUACCUUGUUUACCCCCCACUGCUGAAAAAGGCUGCAAAAUAUUUCUUAUAAUUAAUUAUGCUUAUUCUAAAUGUGAUUAGCACAUUUAGAUAGCAAAUAAACGUCUUUUUCUGGUAUUUAUAUGUGCCGUCAAUAAACGGUUUUAGCAUAAUAUAAAAAUUGUAGGCCCAAUCUGACUUCUAUGUGUUGGGAGCCAAAGUUUGCACUUACCAAGGCUAGUUUUUUUUUUAUUAUUGAUAAUGAUGCUUUCUUUUUAAUGUUCAGAAGUGGAGCUGUAUUCUCCUCUACCAACAGGUGUCACAUCAAUUUAACCUCUUAUAUAUGCUGUGUUGGUUUUUAUAUUCUUUCUUUAGUUUCCCAUAUUUUUCAUUUUGUCUUAUACUACUUUCAUUUAUGUUAAUAUUUCAUCUCAUAUGCUCAAAUAUGUUCAAAUACAUGUUCAAAUAUGUAUUCAUGCUCUUGUGCUGUUUUGUGAUGCAAAAGAAAACGUAAUACUUUGUUUUAUUCGUGAGUGCAUAAGUGAUUAUUUAGGCAUCAUGUUGAAAUUGGUCGCCAAAUCCCCCCACUGUGUUGCGAGCUGUAAUGUAUGUAUUAAGAAUACUAUUGUAUACAGAGAUCUAUACAGAGAUAGGAAAUGGUGUGAGACAUGUACUGCACCAGCUCACUGUAGGCCAACGUUAUCAAGUUUCUUGCCUUCAAGUGUGGCAACACUUUUUAAUCGCCAGAUGUAGUACUUUAGUUCCAUCAAAUAGAUGACACAUUGCUAUUUCUGUUAUGUUAUUAGUAUUUCUGUUACGUAUUUCAUGUACUUUUCAUUUUUUUGUGUAUGUAUCCACUUUGUGUACCAUGCUUGCCCUGUGUGCUUGAGUGUUUUGUGCACUGAGAACGGGUCGGGGAAGGGAACUGACACUUAGUCAGGCAUUCGUGCCUUUUUGUCAGCCUCUUUGACAGAGAUUCUCUGUAUUUUUUUCUGUCAAAUAAACAUUCAUUCAUUCAUUCAUUCA